UAAUAUCAAAUGUUUCAAAUC
ensembl:piRNA 21ur-12517 ncRNA